UUGAAGGCGCACGGUGGAUGCCUGGGCAUCAGGAGCCGAUGAAGGACGUGGGAGGCCGCGAUAGUCCUCGGGGAGCUGUCAACCGAGCUGUGAUCCGAGGGUGUCCGAAUGGGGAAACCCAGCCCGAGUGAUGUCGGGUUACCGCUGUUUGAAUGUAUAGGGCAGCGGGGGGAACGUGGGGAACUGAAACAUCUCAGUACCUACAGGAAGAGGAAGCAAUAGCGAUUCCCGGAGUAGUGGCGAGCGAAACGGGAGGAGACUAAACCGGAUGCGUGUGAAAGCCGGCGGGCGUUGCGUGUUCGGGGUUGUGGGAGCGUCUAGCUGGGUCUGCCGGCCUGGCGGGGAUGUGUGCAUGGCUAGCUGAACGUGUUGGAAGGCGCGAGCGGAGCGGGUGAUACUCCCGUAGGCGAAAGUUGUGCAUCGUUUCGGGCGUGUUCCCGAGUAGCGCGGUACCCGUGGAAUUCCGCGUGAAUCAGCCAGGACCACCUGGUAAGUCGAAAUACUCCCUGGUGACCGAUAGUGCAGAGUACCGUGAGGGAAUGGUGAAAAGUACCCCGGGAGGGGAGUGAAAGAGUUCCUGAAACCGUGCGCCAACAAACCGUCAGAGCCUUCGGGUGAUGGCGUGCCUUUUGAAGAAUGAGCCUGCGAGUUAGUCGUGUGUGGCAGGUUAACCCGUUGUGGGGGAGCCGGAGCGAAAGCGAGUCUGUGAGGGCGUCGAGUGUCGCAUGCGCUAUACCCGAAACCGAGUGAGCUACCCAUGGCCAGGGUGAAGCGCGGGUAAGACCGUGUGGAGGCCCGAACCCACCAGGGUUGAAAACCUGGGGGAUGAGCUGUGGGUAGGGGUGAAAGGCCAAUCAAACUCGGAAAUAGCUGGUUCUCCCCGAAAUGCAUUUAGGUGCAGCGUCGUGUGGUUCCUGGGUGGGGUAGAGCACUGGAUGGCUGAUGGGCCUGUGUGGUUACUGAAGUCAGCCAAACUCCGAAUACGCCUGGGUGGAGCGCGGCAGUGAGUCUGUGAGGGAAAAGCUUCAUGGUCGAGAGGGAAACAGCCCAGAUCGCCGGCUAAGGCCCCGAAGUGUACGUUCAGUGGGAAAGGAUGUGGGACCGCAGAGACAACCAAGAGGUUGGCUUAGAAGCAGCCAUCCUUGAAAGAGUGCGUAAUAGCUCACUGGUCGAGUGGUCCCGCGCCGAUAAUGUAGCGGGUCUAAGCGUACCGCCGAAGCCGCGGCGCCACGUCUGUUGACGUGGUGGGUAGGGGAGCAUCGCGUGUGUGUUGAAGCGGUGGUGUGAACUGUCGUGGAGUGCGCGCGAGAGAGAAUGCAGGCAUGAGUAGUGAAAGAGGAGUGAGAAUCUCCUCCGCCGGAUGACCAAGGGUUCCAGGGGCAGGUUUGUCCGCCCUGGGUGAGUCGGGACCUAAGGCGAGGCCGACAGGCGUAGUCGAUGGAGAACGGGUUGAUAUUCCCGUACCCGUGUGGACGCGUCCCGGAUGAGGCGGUUUCUGCUAACCACUCUGCGCGUGCCCAUGAUCCUUGUGGUUGUGGGUGGUGUGUGGCGUGGGGUCCGUUUCCGUAGUAGUUCAGUGAUGGGGUGACGCAGGAGGGUAGCCCAGCCCGGGCGUUGGUUGUCCCGGGGUAAAGGUGUAGGGCUGGUGUGUAGGCAAAUCCGUGCACCGUGUGAGCCUGAGACCUGAUGCCGAGCCUUUGUGGUGAAGUGGGUGAUCCCAUGCUGCCGGGAAAAGCCUCUAGCGAGUGUCCGCAUGGCCCGUACCCGAAACCGACACAGGUGGUCAGGUAGAGAAUACCGAGGCGAGCGGGUGAACCGUGGUUAAGGAAUUCGGCAAAUUGUCCCCGUAACUUCGGGAGAAGGGGAGCCCGCUGGCGUGUACACCCUGGCGGUGGAAGCGUUGGUGGGCCGCAGAGGAUAGGCCUGAGCGACUGUUUACUAAAAACACAGGUCCGUGCGAAGUUGUAAGACGAGGUAUACGGACUGACGCCUGCCCGGUGCCGGAACGUUACGGGGAGGGGUUAGCGACUCUUGUGGUUGCGAAGCUCCGAACCUAAGCGCCGGUAAACGGCGGUGGUAACUAUGACCAUCCUAAGGUAGCGAAAUUCCUUGUCGGGUAAGUUCCGACCUGCACGAAUGGCGUCACGACUCGGGCGCUGUCUCGACCACGGACCCGACGAAAUUGCAGUACGAGUAAAGAUGCUCGUUACGCGCGGCAGGACGGAAAGACCCCGGGACCUUUACUAUAGCUUGGCAUUGGUGUUCGGUGCGGUGUGUGUAGGAUAGGUGGGAGACUGGGAUGUGGUCACGCUAGUGGCCGUGGAGUCGUUGUUGAAAUACCACUCUCAUCGUUCUGGGCAUCUAAUUUCGGCCCGUGAUCCGGGUCAGAGACAGUGCCUGGUGGGUAGUUUAACUGGGGCGGUUGCCUCCUAAAGGGUAACGGAGGCGUCCAAAGGUUCCCUCAGCCUGGUUGGUGAUCAGGUGUCGAGUGCAAGGGCACAAGGGAGCUUCACCGCGAGACUGACGGGUCGAGCGGAUGCGAAAGCAGGGCCUAGUGAUCCGGCACUAGCUGGUGGAAGCGGUGUCGCUCAACGGAUAAAAGGUACCCCGGGGAUAACAGGCUAAUCUUGCCCAAGAGUUCAUAUCGACGGCACGGUUUGGCACCUCGAUGUCGGCUCGUCGCAUCCUGGGGCUGGAGUGGGUCCCAAGGGUUGGGCUGUUCGCCCAUUAAAGCGGCACGCGAGCUGGGUUUAGAACGUCGUGAGACAGUUCG
rnacentral:rRNA from 1 species